UACGUAGGGCGCAAGCGUUUGUCCGGAAUUAUUGGGCGUAAAGAGCUCGUAGGUGGCUUGUCACGUCGGGUGUGAAAGCUUGGGGCUUAACUCCAGGUCUGCAUUCGAUACGGGCUAGCUAGAGUGUGGUAGGGGAGAGCGGAAUUCCUGGUGUAGCGGUGGAAUGCGCAGAUAUCAGGAGGAACACCGGUGGCGAAGGCGGGUCUCUGGGCAGUAACUGACGCUGAGGAGCGAAAGCGUGGGGAGCGAACAGG
rnacentral:rRNA from 1 species